GUCAGUGAUAUUUGAUAAGUUCACAAACCAUUAGUUAAAAACCUGAGUACAGCCUGGAUAGAAUGAAGAACACUUGAAAAAUGGCAACAAUUAUAGUCUCAUGUAUCAUUCUUAUCAGUCUUAAAGCCACAGUUAUCUCUUCCCUCAACAUCCAGCAAUUACCACAGCAUCUAUUAAUAACACCUGAGCAGAGGGAAGUGAAGCUCAGCUGCCAACAUGGUGAUAGCAGCUAUAUCUACAUGUUCUGGUAUCAACAAAAGACAGUCAGUGACUCUAUUGAGCUCAUUGGAGUGCUCCAGUACCAACGAUUUACUCCUGAGGAGAAGUUUAAACCACGAUUCAACAUUUCAGGACACUCCACAGGGGAUGCGUUUCUGCUUAUAUCCAGUGUAACUCCUGAGGACAGUGCAGUAUAUUUCUGUGCUGCUAGUAAGCACAGUCACACACCUUCCCUUUCUGUUUAACAAAAACCUUCACACCAAACACCUGCAAAUAAGAUCUGUUCUGUGAUUACAGCUGUUUGUAAUAGCAUUUAUUGUAGGAAGUGUACAGUAGAGGUCACUGAUAA